rnacentral:tRNA from 1 species
GAGAAUUUAGUUAACUAAUAACAAUACCUUGUCAAGAUAUAAUAAUGAGUUAAAAUCUCAUAUUUCUCC